rnacentral:rRNA from 1 species
GACGAACGCUGGCGGCGUGCCUAACACAUGCAAGUCGAACGGGGUCAGCCCUUCGGGACUGACUUAGUGGCGAACGGGUGAGUAACGCGUGAGGAACCUGCCUCUCAGUGGGGGACAACAGUUGGAAACGACUGCUAAUACCGCAUAAAGUAUUCGAAGGGCAUCCUUUGGAUACCAAAGAUUUAUUGCUGAGAGAUGGCCUCGCGUCUGAUUAGAUAGUUGGUGAGGUAACGGCUCACCAAGUCGACGAUCAGUAGCCGGUCUGAGAGGAUGAACGGCCACAUUGGGACUGAGAUACGGCCCAG